AUCAGGUUUCGCCGGCACACGAACUUGAGCUUGGGCGUCGAGUUGUAGAACCCGGCCACCUUCACCACGUCCCCCAGACGGUACCGGUACAGCCCUGCCAAUUUCCAUUUACCUCAGGCCCUACAUGACGUGCCCAUGCUCAUCCAUGGAGUCAUGGAGUGGAAGCCUCUAGCCUACACCGCGGCAAAGUCUACCGACUGAUGGGCUGCUGGAAAACAUACAAAAUCCUCAUAGCCGCAGCCUACAAAGUAAAGAAAGCGAAAUGUUCUUGUCUAGUAGCUGCUAGGAGCCUUGGACUGGCAAGACAGCCUGAAAACUCAGCUGCUUCUGAAUAAGAUGCAAAGAAGCCCAGAAGUUUGACAGUUCUCAGCCGUUGCAUUCAGAUGUGAAUGCACGCGACCUGCUGGUCAGAUUCAGUUAGACUAUGGUUAAGGCUCGGCGACAGAAGUUCCAAGCUGCAAAGGGCCAGGAACAAUGAUCGGCCGGCAAACCGACAAAUCGUCAUAGAAGCAGCCUUUUGUCUUUUAACAUAUUACUGGGUGAUCUACUAUUUCCACACCUAAUCCAUAGUUCACUGAUACUGAUUUAAUAGGAUUAUUAGUUGCUAGAAGCUCCAGAAUUGUUUGAUCCGGUCAGCGUUUUUUUUCUUCUUGAAAAUAAUACAGCAAGCAAGCAUCUCACAUCAAA